UCCCUGCUGAGUGCACAGCGAUCAGCCCCU
rnacentral:piRNA from 1 species